rnacentral:rRNA from 1 species
UACAUGGGGUGCAAACGUUGCUCGGAAUUAUUGGGCGUAAAGGGCGCGUAGGCGGUUUGACAAGUCUGAUGUGAAAUCUAUGGGCUCAACCCAUAGCCUGCAUUAGAAACUGUCGGGCUUGAGUAUGGGAGAGGUGAGUGGAAUUUCCGGUGUAGCGGUGAAAUGCGUAGAUAUCGGAAGGAACACCUGUGGCGAAAGCGGCUCACUGGACCAUAACUGACGCUGAGGCGCGAAAGCUAGGGGAGCAAACAGG